CUCUUGAACUCUGCUCUGCCCCCCUUCUUUUGGCCCAGGGCGACCUCGGCAACCCUGACAGCAACAGACCGUCCCAAGUGACCAGAAAGCCCACCCGGGUGGCCCAGCGCCUCCCCGGGUGGCCCAGCGCCUCCCCGGCUCUUUCUGGAUGGGGGCACCUGGCGAAGGAGCUGGCUAAACGCUCUGGCCUUCACCUUCCAUUCCCUGCUGACCACACCUCCCCUAGUGCCCAGGCUGCCCGCAGAGCAGGCGAUGCUUGUGCCAGCACAGCGGGCUCCCCAGGAUCUUGGUCUGACCGCCAGGAUGAAGGUGAGGCGGGCAACCAAGACCUUCGUGCGGAAGCCUCGCCGUCUUAAAGAUGGGGGCCUGGGGCCCGACACCCCCUCAGGUGGCAGCGGUGGGAGUGAGAGUCAGGAGAGGAGGAGCAGCCCACCUCGGCCAGCAGUCUCAGCUCCCAAGCGGGCCAGUGAAGUCGCUGAGGAGACUGCGUCAGGACGGCAGAAGCUGCAAGCCCGACAGUUAAAACAGUGGCCAGAGCAGCAGCCACAACCGCAACCACACAACCAAGGGUCAGGACCUCAGCCAGAGUCGCAGCAGCAGCAGCAAGAUGGGCAAGAGCCGCUGCCCCAACCGCAGCCAGAAUUGCAGGAAGAACCCCAGUCUGAACAACAGGGGCCGCUGAAACCACGGCUUCGGCUUAUGCCGCGGCAGAAACAGUCACGGGAGCAGCACAGGCAGGUGCGACGGCGGUCACGGCUGCGGCAGGAACGGUUCCAGCGGCAGGAACUGCAGGAAAAGCCCCCGUGUGUGCAGUAUGAGCAGCAGAAGCAGCUGCAGCGGCAGGAACAAUCAGAGGAGAGGCAAGUGCAAGAACAGCAGCUGCCACAGCUGCAGCAGGAGCUGCAACAGGACUUACAGCAGGGAUGGCCACAGCUGCCGCAGCAAGCGGUACAACAGCUGCAGCAAGCGGUACAGCAGCCACAGCAGCUACAACAGCAGGAGCCAUUACAACCACAGCAGGAGCAGCUACAAUCACAGCAGGAGUCACUGCAACCACAGCAAGAACAGUGUCAGCUGCUGCAUCAACAGCAAGAACAGCUCCAGCACCAAGAACAGUUGCAGCAACAGCUGUUGCAGCAGCAAGAGUUACAGCGGCAGCAGCAGCAACAGCAGCAGGAACACUUACUACCACAGCAGGAGCAGUUAGAGCUGCAGCAGCAGCUGCAGAAGCAGCAGGAACAGUUGCAGCUGCUGCAGCAGCAGCAAGAACAGCUGGAGCUGUUGCUGCAGCAGCAGCAGCAGUUGCAGCAGCAGCUACAGCCCCGGCCUCUGGGGCCGGAGGAGGAGGAGGAGGUUGAGCUGGAGCUCAUGCCGGUGGACGUGGAGUCUGAUCAGGAGCUGGAGCGGCAGCGGCAGGAGCUGGAGCGGCAGCAGGAGCAGCGGCAGCUGCAGCUCCAACU
rnacentral:lncRNA from 1 species